UUGAGCCAAUUUUGAGAGAGGUGAGACAUAACUCUAGUGACUGCUGAACCUUCUAGGAAGUACUAGAACAACAAUAUGUACAUGAUCUCUCUGUGACCUUGUUGCUGUAACCACUCACGAAAUAUAAUACGAUUACAAGAUUAUUGGGUUUCCUUCUGUAGCUGACUGUCAACCAGAACUGAAUGGACAACAUGAUCAAUUUUCUACCAUGGUACUCCAACAGGACUAUUGCAAUUUGAAAUGUGCUGGAUGCAGCAAUGUGAUGUACGUUGGAAAGGGCUCAGCUUACUUUCUGAAGGAGCACAAAAUGACUUGGGAAUGGUUAUCAUGUUUCACUCAGUGCACCGAAUCCAUCAAGGUUUAUUUAUUGGGGAUCCUGGAUAAUAUCCACACUUCAGCUGCAACUAAUGGGUAACAUUCAUAACUCAAGGCAACUCAGGAAAAGACUCUGACUGCCUUUCUCCACGAAGUCAUUGAGUUCUCAACAGAAAUUUGUCAUCAUGAAGGACAGGAAAGAUUUUUAUUCGACUGCUAAUGGAUUGAUAGAACAAUAUGAUCUGUUCCAGAUGCCAAAUAGUUAGUCAGUAUGUUGAAGUGACACAAAGAAACUGAGGAAUUAACCUGUUUGAUUAAAUAAAUUGUAGCAGCACACAAAAAUGUCUUGCUUUCUUUUCACGUCAACUUUUCUAGCAAAAUUGUUGAGAACAGGGGGACCUCUUUUGUAGUGUCGCCGUGUCUGUUUUAAAAUUAUUUAUGUAUUUCCACAAAGAAUAUUCAGAAUUAAAUAAAUCAAACAACAUAUUCAUAUAAUUUCCAGUAUUGUAUAAUGGCCAUGCCGAUCAGAGUAUACAGUCUGCAUCAGUUAAGAGAAACAUUUUUGUGUAUUUGAUUUCCUCACCUUGUUAUUUUUUUCUCAAUUGGAGUCAAGUACUAAUACUGCAUGAAAAAAAUAAAAUAUUUCUUGUAACUAUAAAUAAAUA